rnacentral:rRNA from 1 species
UGGCGGCGAUAGCGCGGUGGUCCCACCUGACCCCAUGCCGAACUCAGAAGUGAAACGCCGUAGCGCCGAUGGUAGUGUGGGGUCUCCCCAUGUGAGAGUAGGGAACUGCCAUGCA